rnacentral:rRNA from 1 species
GACGAACGCUGGCGGCGUGCUUAACACAUGCAAGUCGAACGGAAAGGCCCUGCUUUUGUGGGGUGCUGGAGUGGCGAACGGGUGAGUAACACGUGAGUAACCUGCCCUUGACUUUGGGAUAACUUCAGGAAACUGGGGCUAAUACCGGAUAGGAGCUCCUGCUGCAUGGUGGGGGUUGGAAAGUUUCGGCGGUUGGGGAUGGACUCGCGGCUUAUCAGCUUGUUGGUGGGGUAGGGGCUUACCAAGGCUUUGACGGGUAGGCGGCCUGAGAGGGUGACCGGCCACAUUGGGACUGAGAUACGGCCCAGACUCCUACGGGAGGCAGCAGUGGGGAAUAUUGCACAAUGGGCGGAAGCCUGAUGCAGCAACGCUGCGUGCGGGAUGACGGCCUUCGGGUUGUAAACCGCUUUCGCCUGUGACGAAGCGUGAGUGACGGUAAUGGGUAAAGAAGCACCGGCUAACUACGUG